AAAACCGUUAAAGACGCGAUGUCCCUUGUCUACUUUUUACUACACUCAAAGUAUCUUUCUUCACAAAAAGAGCGUAAAUAGGUGAACUCAGAGCCGUUGACGGAAAAUAAGGCUUUUAUUUUGGAUGGAAACUCGGAAAGCGGAAGUUGUCAUUAGCCGCGACUUUCAUACUUUCACAUGUUAGCAUACGGCUAAGCUAGUAACGUAUUCAUGACGUCUCUGUUAUAAACAAAGUUUGCAUUGGUUAUUAUCAGCAUUGAUUUAGUUCACAUUCCAGCGUGUGUUUUUAUCUCUUAGGUUUUCAGAAGUGAAUACUGAAAAGUGAAUGAACUUUUCAGCUGUUACAUUGAUAACGUUACGUUCGCUUGAAAUAAGCAGUGAGACAGAUGAUUAUUUGAUUCGAUCGAUAAACUCCAUUAAUGAUCAGUGAUCGAAACAUGCAGAAGGACUCGAGACUGAUAAAGACCUCCGCGCCUUCAGUGGCGCAGAUUAACGCUGAAUAUGUCACUCAGCUUUCAAACAAAUACUGGGCACCUCAUGUCAAGAAUAAAUUACCAUUUGAAGCUCAGGUCAUUGAAGACAUUUAUCAGAAUGAGAUUCUUAAAUCAAAAUUUUCUGUCAGAAAGAUUAUGUUGCUGGAGUUCAGCCAGUAUCUGGAGAGUUACCUGUGGUUGAACUACACACCUGAAGCCUCCACCAACAGCUACCUGAUGUCCAUCUGCUGCAUCGUCAACGAGAAGUUUCGAGAAAACGUUCCUGCCUGGGAGGUUUUUAAGCGCGCACCCACACACUUCCCUCACUUCUUCAGGUGUGUGAUGGAGUCGUGUCUGUCGGGCGAACAGCUCGGCCUGUCGCUGAAGGAACAGACGGUGCUCCUCCUCUUCCUCGAUCACUGCUUCAACAGUCUGGAAGUGGACUUGAUCCGUGAGCAGGUGCAGAAGCUGGUUUCUCUGCCCAUGUGGAUGUGUCUGCUGCCGAUGAGACUGCAGCAGGAAUUGAAGAAGGUCCCGAAACUGCAGAAGUUCUGGAACCUCAUUAAGAAGAACUAUGAGAAGAUGGAGCCUCAGGAUGCGGAGCAAGCGAAGAAGGAGCGCACCUUCCUCGCUGCUCUCAUCAAGAAGUUCCUGGGGGUUCUCAUGUCCAUCCCUGCGUCAGGCUCUGUCUCCAUGGAGAAGGUUCACUACUGUGAGAGAUUCAUUGAGUUCAUGAUUGACCUGGAGGCUCUCCUCCCGACCCGGCGCUGGUUCAACACACUCCUGGACGACGCUCAUCUGGUGGUGAACUGCCAGCUGUCCCACCUCACGGAGCGGGAGCAGGAAGGACACCUCUUCUGCCAGCUGCUGGACAUGUUGAAGUUCUACGCUGGCUUUGAGAUCAGUGAUCAGACUGGAAACGCUCUCACACAGAAAGAGAUGACCACACUGCACUACGACAGGAUCACGUCUCUACAGAGAGCAGCGUUUGCUCAUUUCCCUGAGCUCAAUGACUUUGCCCUGUCUAAUGUGGCCGCCGUGGACACGCGAGAGUCCCUCACCAAACACUUCGGCCCUCUCAGUCCCAACACCCUCCACCGGGUGUCAGCAUACCUGUGUCUCCUGCCGGAGCUUCCCGAGGGAGAGGAGACGUCCUACGAGAAAGAGUUUCUUCUGGAACUGCUGGUGUCCCACCACGAGAGGCGGAUCUCCCAGAUCGAACAGCUCAACCAGAUGCCUCUGUAUCCCACCGAGAAGAUCAUCUGGGACGAGAACAUCGUUCCCACCGAGUACUAUUCAGGAGAAGGUUGUUUAGCUCUGCCGAAGCUGAACCUGCAGUUUCUGACCCUUCACGACUACCUUUUGAGGAACUUCAACCUCUUCCGACUGGAGUCAACCUAUGAAAUCCGCCAGGAUAUCGAGGACGUUGUGCUACGGAUGAAGCCAUGGCAGUCGGAGUAUGGAGGAGUGGUGUUUGGAGGAUGGGCUCGAAUGGCUCAGACCAUACUGUCGUUCUCUAUCGUGGAGGUGGCCAAGCCCAACAUCGGGGAGAACUGGCCUGCCCGAGUCCGUGCUGACGUCACCCUCAACCUCAACAUCCGAGAUCACAUCAAGAACGAAUGGGAGGGUCUUCGGAAACACGACGUGUGCUUCCUGAUCACGGUGCGGCCCAACCUGCCGUACGGCACACGCUUCGAUCGCCGGCAGCCGUUCGUGGAUCAGGCCGGGCUGGUGUACGUGAGGGGCUGUGAGGUGCAGGGCAUGCUGGACGAUAAGGGCCGCGUCAUCGAGGAGGGUCCUGAUCCGAAGCCCAAACUAAGAGGAGACACCAGGACGUUUCGGGUUUGGCUCGACGCAAACCAGUAUCAGCAGGACAUGACCAACAGCAUCCAGAACGGGGCAGAAGACCCCUAUGAGACCUUCAAUAUUAUCAUGAGGCGCAAACCCAAAGAGAACAACUUCAAGGCUGUGCUUGAGACCAUUCGCAACCUCAUGAACACAGAGUGUGUGGUUCCCGACUGGCUUCACGACAUCAUUCUGGGUUAUGGAGACCCUGGUAGUGCCCAUUACUCCAAGAUGCCCAAUCAGAUCUCGUCCCUGGACUUCAACGACACCUUCCUGUCCAUCGAGCACCUGAAGUCCUGUUUCCCCAAUCACAAGGUGAAGGUGUCGGAGGACGAUCCCGCUCGACAGGUCCCGCCUUUCAGAAUUCGAUUCCCUGUGCAGAACGUGAAGGCUAAGAAGCGUAAAGCAAAUGAGGAAGAGACGCAGGGCGAGGAAGAUCAGACGCUGGUGGUGGAGCCUCACGUGAUUCCCAACAGAGGCCCGUAUCCCUACAACCAGCCCAAGCGAAACACCAUCCAGUUUACACCCACCCAGAUCGAAGCCAUUCGUGCAGGGAUGCAGCCAGGCCUUACUAUGGUCGUUGGUCCUCCCGGCACGGGAAAAACAGACGUGGCUGUUCAGAUCAUCUCCAACCUGUACCACAACUUCCCCGAGCAGAGAACGCUCAUCGUCACACACUCCAAUCAGGCUCUGAACCAGCUGUUUGAGAAGAUUAUGGCGUUAGACAUCGAUGAACGUCACCUUCUGCGUAUGGGCCAUGGAGAAGAAGAACUAGAGACUGAGAAAGAUUUCAGCAGGUAUGGACGAGUGAACUAUGUGCUGUCCCGGCGUCUGGAGCUCCUGCGAGAGGUGGCCCGUCUGCAGGACAGUCUCGGUGUGCCCGGGGACGUUUCCUACACAUGCGAGACCGCUGGACACUUCUACCUCUACCAGGUCAUUUCUCGUUGGGAGGAAUACAUGAGUAAAGUGAAGCCGAAGCCCAGCCGAGAGGUGCCGGUGGAGGACGUGGCGUCACACUUCCCGUUCCAGAAGUACUUCUCCAAUGCUCCUCAGCCAGUGUUCAAAGGCCAGUCGUACCAGGAGGACAUGGACAUCGCCGAGGGCUGCUACCGCCACAUACGCAAGAUCUUCACACAGCUAGAGGAGUUCAGGGCUUUUGAGCUGUUGCGCAGCGGGCUGGACCGAUCCAAAUACCUGCUGGUGAAAGAGGCCAAGAUCAUCGCCAUGACCUGCACACACGCCGCUCUCAAACGCCACGACCUGGUGGAGCUCGGCUUCAAGUACGAUAAUAUCCUGAUGGAGGAGGCAGCUCAAAUCCUGGAGAUCGAGACCUUCAUCCCUCUACUGCUGCAGAACCCAGAGGACGGCUACAGUCGCCUCAAGCGCUGGAUUAUGAUUGGGGAUCAUCAUCAGUUGCCUCCUGUCAUCAAGAACAUGGCCUUUCAGAAAUAUUCCAACAUGGAGCAGUCGCUGUUCACCCGCUUCGUGCGUCUGGGUGUGCCCACCGUGGACCUGGACGCCCAGGGCAGAGCACGCGCCAGUCUGUGUAACCUGUAUAACUGGCGCUAUAAGCAGCUGGGGAACCUCCCUCAUGUUCAACUCCAGCCCGAGUUCCAGUCACCGAACCCUGGGUUCACAUACGACUUCCAGCUCGUGAACGUGGAGGACUUCAAUGGCGUGGGCGAAUCAGAACCCAACCCAUACUUUUAUCAGAAUCUGGCAGAAGCCGAGUAUUCGGUGGCGCUGUUCAUGUACAUGCGUUUGCUGGGAUAUCCUGCCGAACGCAUCAGUAUACUGACCACCUACAACGGCCAGAAGCAUCUGAUACGAGACGUCAUCAACCAGAGAUGUGCCAACAACUCGUUCUUCGGACAGCCCAAUAAAGUGACAACGGUGGACCGGUUUCAGGGUCAACAGAACGAUUACAUCAUUCUCUCACUGGUGCGCACUAAAGCCGUAGGACAUUUGAGAGACGUGCGGCGUCUGGUCGUGGCCAUGUCUCGUGCCAGACUCGGCCUCUACAUAUUCGCUCGAGUGUCUCUGUUCCAGAACUGCUAUGAGCUGACGCCAGCCUUCAGCCAGCUGACCUCGCGACCCCUGCAGCUGCACAUCCGGCCCCAGGAAUACUACAGCUCUACGGAGGAGCGUUCCUCUCAGCCUGAUCAGGUGAUCAAGGAUAUGCCAGAGAUGGCUAACCUGGUUUAUAACUUGUACAUGCACAUGAUUCAGAGCACGCAGCAGCACAGACAACAACACAUUCUGGAUCCUCCUCGUCAGGCGCAGAAGUCCGAGCCGCCCGUGAAGAGCGAUGAAGAGCGUCCUGAGACUGUCCCUGAGGAAGAGGAGGAGCAGGCGAAGGCCGAGGGCCGCACGGAUGAGGAAGAGCACGCUAAGAUGCCCGAACACCCGGGUCGAGACAGCGACAGCGGGGACAGUGACGAGGACCAGGAGGCCUAGAGGGCUUUUCUGAUGGUUUGGAGGAAUGAUUGUGGAAAUGAGCAUUGAGCUUUUAGUCCAUUCUCAGGGCGAGUGUGUGGCGGGGACUUGAGCGCUGCUCCAUCAGGGUCUCUGGCGUCUGCGACGGGAACCGGUCUGGCUGCUGUGGGAGUCCAGGAAACAUUAACAGAGCUUUCAACCACCAUUUCUCUACGCAACUCAAGACACUCCCACUGAAGAUGUCGUGUGGCUCGUGUUUCUGGGCCGUGGUGUGGCUGCUGGUGCUGCUGGUCCUGGGCUGGCCCUUGAGUAUAAUGCUGGGGGGUCUUUAUGGCCUCGUGGCCCCGCUCACCGUGUGUGUCGGCCUGGACCGGCUGGCGGACCUGCUGAUGGAGGGAGCGAACCUGGGCCGAAAGUGUGCUCAGAACAUGAGGCACGGCAAACCACUGUGCUGAGACCUCCAGGAGAUUCGCAUCUGUUCGUUUAAGCUGUGUUAAUCCACGUCAGCGGGUCUGUGAUGUCACUCACUGUGCGGUUGGUUCUCCGUGUGACUGACUCAUCCUUAAAGCCUUAGUGACACUUUCCGUCUUCCUCUCUGUAUCUGUGGCUCUCAGGCUGUUCGAAUAUGAAAAAUUAAAAUAUUCUGAGAGAAUUCUGG